CCAGGCUUUAUUAAAAUAGAAUAUAAAUAUUAACAGAAACGGACUGCUUCUAAUCCCCACUACCGUUGGCCAGGGAGGCCUCUCUUCAGGUUUUCUGAAUGGAACUAAAUAAGGAGCCCAUGUUACCGCGGAAAGGGCACUGUGAUUAGGAGCCUUUCAUGAGCUUCCAUGAACGUCUAGGGCUUGGAAACUUCAUUUUCAAAAUAAGGCUGUUGGAUUAGAUGAUUUUCCCAACCCCUAACCCUCUGUGUUAAUGAAUGGACUGACUCUAUAAUCAUGUUCCUUGGACAUUUCUAUGGAAACACUGAGCCAUCAUAAGGGAGGCCUUCAUUCUGAUGUAACAAAGCCAGCUGUGUCCACAUGAGAACAUUGGCAAGAGUGGGGACAUGGAAGCUGUGUUCAGGCCGGUCCACGCUGGGUGACCCAUGUGACCUGCUGCUUAGCAAUUCCUUGUCACCAUCUUCCCUUCUCAGCCUCUUUUUUCAUGCUAACAGGCAUAAAUGAAAUGAUAAAAGUUUGAGCUCUUCUCGUGGAAUUCUCGUGAUACAGAUAUGUGCUACAUGUUCAUCAUCUCGUUGGUCUUCACCAUGAUAACUGUGGAGUAAGAAUUAUAAGCAGGUCACAGAUUAGGGACUUGAGAUUGACAGUUUGGCUUCCCUGUUCUGGGUGGCAAAGCCUGUGGAGUACUCACCUACCUGCUGCAUGAAGGCAGCAUGGAGGGACUGUGGUGGAUUAUCUGCAAAGAUGGCCAAAAUUCUCUCAUCCCUGCAGGCACAUACAAGAGAAGAACUGAAGCUCAGCUCUUCACCCUACAGAAAGCCUGAAUUUUGUAAAUGUUCUGCUUAGAAUGAGGAAGAAAGAUGAAGAAUGAGGAGGAAGAAGGAAGGAACGAGAGAGAGGUAAAGCCAACAAGCAGAACAGACCUACAUUUGCAGCAUCUCCAAGUUUCUGCAACAGCAUUAUGUUGUUGUUAUGUUUUGUUUUAAUAAAAGCACA
rnacentral:lncRNA from 10 species